rnacentral:rRNA from 1 species
GAAUUCGCCCUUAGAGUUUGAUCCUGGCUCAGGACGAACGCUGGCGGCGUGCCUAACACAUGCAAGUCGAACGGGGCUUGUUAUCCAGAAUUUUUCGGAAGGACGGAGAACAAGGCUAGUGGCGGACGGGUGAGUAACGCGUGAGUAACCUGCCUUUCAGAGGGGGAUAACGUUCUGAAAAGGACGCUAAUACCGCAUAACAUAUAGAGGUCGCAUGGCAGCUAUAUCAAAGGAGCAAUCCGCUGAGAGAUGGACUCGCGUCUGAUUAGAUAGUUGGUGGGGUUACGGCCUACCAAGUCGACGAUCAGUAGCCGGACUGAGAGGUUGAACGGCCACAUUGGGACUGAGACACGGCCCAGACUCCUACGGGAGGCAGCAGUGGGGGAUAUUGCGCAAUGGGGGAAACCCUGACGCAGCAACGCCGCGUGAAGGAAGAAGGUUUUCGGAUUGUAAACUUCUUUUGUCAGGGACGAAUAGAUGACGGUACCUGACGAAUAAGCUCCGGCUAACUACGUGCCAGCAGCCGCGGUAAUACGUAGGGAGCGAGCGUUGUCCGGAAUUACUGGGUGUAAAGGGUGCGUAGGCGGCAGAGCAAGUCAGAUGUGAAAUACACGGGCUUAACCCGUGGGCUGCAUUUGAAACUGUUCAGCUUGAGUGAAGCAGAGGCAGGCGGAAUUCCCGGUGUAGCGGUGAAAUGCGUAGAGAUCGGGAGGAACACCAGUGGCGAAGGCGGCCUGCUGGGCUUUAACUGACGCUGAGGCACGAAAGCGUGGGUAGCAAACAGGAUUAGAUACCCUGGUAGUCCACGCUGUAAACGAU